GGCUGGUCUGAGUGGAGUGGUGUUUACAACUAACCAAUCACAACCGGUCAGAUUUCCUGUUCCUUUUCCACUCCCACUGCUCCACUUGACUAGCCUAAA
ensembl:Y_RNA Y_RNA Y RNA